AAUCAACGCUGGCGGCGUGCCUCAGACAUGCAAGUCGAACGAGAACCUCCCUUCGGGGAGGGGACAGUGGCGCACGGGUGAGUAACACGUGGGUAAUUUACCUUUGGGUGGGGAACAACAGCCGGAAACGGCUGCUAAUACCGCAUAAUGCAGCGGCUCGACAUCGAGACAGUUGUUAAAGCGGGGGAUCGCAAGACCUCGCGCCUGAAGAGAAGCCUGCGGCGGAUUAGCAGUUGGUAGGGUAAUGGCCUACCAAGGCGACGAUCUGUAACCGGCCUGAGAGGGCGGUCGGUCACACUGACACUGACAUACGGGUCAGACUCCUACGGGAGGCAGCAGUCGGGAAUUUUGGGCAAUGGGCGAAAGCCUGACCCAGCAACGCCGCGUGAAGGAUGAAGCUUUUCGGAGUGUAAACUUCAUAAGAAUGGGAAGAAUAAGU
rnacentral:rRNA from 1 species